rnacentral:rRNA from 1 species
UACGAGGGGGGCGAGCGUUGUUCGGAAUUAUUGGGCGUAAAGGGUGCGUAGGCGGUUUGGUAAGUCUUAUGUGAAAUCUAUGGGCUCAACUCAUAGUCUGCAUGAGAAACUGCCGGGCUUGAGUGUGGGAGAGGUGAGUGGAAUUUCCGGUGUAGCGGUGAAAUGCGCAGAUAUCAGGAGGAACACCGGUGGCGAAGGCGGGUCUCUGGGCCGAUACUGACGCUGAGGAGCGAAAGCAUGGGUAGCGAACAGG